AAAAGGUUGAAGUAAGUAGUUGCCUAAGAAUAAAGUAGUAGUUGGCCAAACUUAAUUUUGCUGAUUGAAACUUUGUGUACAACAAGAUCCUUUCAGUUUGAAUGGGUAUACCUAAGGAUGAUAUGUCACAAUCCAAUCAAAAAGAUAGUUCCCUUUCUAAUGUACCGGAGAAAGAUGCAGAAAAUGUGCAUCAGAAAAAGGGUCUCGAGAGUGAGGGUGGUGCAUCCGAAUCUAGUCGAGUUUCUGUACUACCGAAGAAGGAACCAUACAUUAUAUCUUGUAAAUCAGAUUCUCCUGUAAAAGAUGGAAACAUAUCCCUAGUACCUGGAAAGGCUUCAGAUUCUUCACAACAAAUACAAAGUCAGAAAAUGGAAGAAGUUGUUUCUCAACCUCAUCAAGAACAAGUUACUUCUUCACCAAUGGCUGAGAAUGCUUUGUGUAAGUUACAAUCUAGGCGGAACCCUGAUACGAGUGUCCAGGAUUUGCCAUCUGAUCAAGGAGUCACUCCCUUCAGUGAACCUGAAAAACCAUCUGAAGAUGGAUAUAACUG
rnacentral:misc_RNA from 1 species